rnacentral:rRNA from 1 species
UACAGAGGUGGCGAGCGUUAUUCGGAAUUAUUGGGCGUAAAGGGCGCGUAGGCGGCCAAGCAAGUCCUGGGUGAAAUCCCUCGGCUCAACCGAGGAACUGCCUCGGAAACUGCAUGGCUCGAGGCCGGGAGAGGGUAGCGGAAUUCCCAGUGUAGCGGUGAAAUGCGUAGAUAUCAGGAGGAACACCGGUGGUGUAGACGGCUUUCUGGACCGUAACUGACGCUGAGACACGAAAGCGUGGGUAGCAAACAGG